GAUGAACGCUAGCGGCAGGCCUAAUACAUGCAAGUCGAACGGUGUCUUCGGACAUAGUGGCGCACGGGUGCGUAACACGUAUGCAACCUACCUUACAUUGGGGGAUAGCCUGUCGAAAGGGAGAUUAAUACCGCAUAAGACAGUAACUAGGCAUCUAGUAGCUGUUAAAGAUUUAUCGAUGUAAGCUGGGCAUGCGUCCAAUUAGCUAGUUGGUGAGGUAACGGCUCACCAAGGCAAUGAUUGGUAGGGGAACUGAGAGGUCAAUCCCCCACACAGGCACUAAGAGACGGGCCAGACUCCUACGGGAGGCAGCAGGAGGGAAUAUUGGGCAAUGGCCGCAAUUCUGACCCAGCCAUGCCGCGUGCAGGAUGAAGGCGUUAUGCGUUGUAAACUGCUUUUAUACAGGAAGAAACAACUCUUGCGAGAGGCAUUGACGGUACUGUAUGAAUAAGCACCGGCUAACUCCGUGCCAGCCGCCGCGGUAAAAC
rnacentral:rRNA from 1 species